rnacentral:rRNA from 1 species
GAUGAACGCUGGCGGCGUGCUUAACACAUGCAAGUCGAACGAAGCAUUUGCGACAGAUUUUUUCGGAAUGAAGUUGCUUAUGACUGAGUGGCGGACGGGUGAGUAACGCGUGGGUAACCUGCCUUGUACUGGGGGAUAGCAGCUGGAAACGGCUGGUAAUACCGCAUAAGCGCACAAUGUUGCAUGACAUGGUGUGAAAAACUCCGGUGGUAUAAGAUGGACCCGCGUCUGAUUAGCUAGUUGGUGAGAUAACAGCCCACCAAGGCGACGAUCAGUAGCCGACCUGAGAGGGUGACCGGCCACAGUGGGACUGAGACACGGCCCAGACUCCUACGGGAGGCAGCAGUGGGGAAUAUUGCACAAUGGAGGAAACUCUGAUGCAGCGACGCCGCGUGAGUGAAGAAGUAAUUCGUGAUGUAAAGCUCUAUCAGCAGGGAAGAUAGUGACGGUACCUGACUAAGAAGCUCCGGCUAAAUACGUG